UACGAAGGGGACUAGCGUUGUUCGGAAUCACUGGGCGUAAAGCGCACGUAGGCGGAUGUGUCAGUCAGGGGUGAAAUCCCGGGGCUCAACCUCGGAACUGCCUUUGAUACUGAGGAUCUUGAGUUCGGGAGAGGUGAGUGGAACUGCGAGUGUAGAGGUGAAAUUCGUAGAUAUUCGGAAGAACACCAGUGGCGAAGGCGACUCGCUGGACAAGUAUUGACGCUGAGGUGCGAAAGCGUGGGGAGCAAACAGG
rnacentral:rRNA from 1 species